rnacentral:lncRNA from 1 species
AUGGAAAAAGACCUGAGAGGAGCAGAAGCUGCUCCGGAGCUCAGCCUGCAUCCUAAAGAUGGGAUGGGAGGAGCAGAGGGAGUGCUGAAGGCUGACAGCCUCCAGGGGCCCCUGGUGUCUCUCGGCAGCACCGCAUCAGAGCAGCCCUCCACCUCUAAGCAGCAAUAUACGAUGGAGCAACAGCUAUACGGGGCCUCGGGGUCCAGGGAAGACAUCUUCACCUUGGGAGCACCGAGCUACAUGACUUCAAGCAAAAACUGUGGCAGCAGGAGCCUGGGGGCAGCUGCGUUGGACUGUGAAUCUGAGAGCUCAGGAAACUCCCAUCAGUCCUUGCCGGAGGGGCCGUCUGCACAGCUGCCGUCAUGUGAAGAUCAGCCGGCGUCUGUCCUGGUGACGGCUACAAGCAGCGACAGCGACACUGAGGACGAGGCCCUGCAGAGCAACAACUCUCGCUACGACAACCACACUCCACCCUGCACAGGAGAGCAGCUCCUGUCUGAUGACAUGAGUCUACCUGCUGACAGGUGAGCGCGGCAGAGCGCCGGCUUCACGCCACAAUAACGACGCAAUAACGGCUGGAGAGGACACAUGUGCUAGUUACACAGAGCUGUAGAGUAGAAACUAUUUGUUAUGCAUGAACUGAAAACAAACACUUUUUUCUUAGUUUCCUAAAUGUUUUCAUUAUAGGACCAUGGCAUAAGUUAAUGAAAUAACUGUUAAGGGCAUCACUUCAUGUUGUGCAGAAACAACAGAGCCGCUCCCUUCAAGACAAACAACAUCACAGUUUGAUUUUAAAGUUGUUUUUCUCUGUUCUGGGUUUGUCUUCAUUCGGGGGUUUGACCCCUCGGUGCUGCUUUUUGCUCAUCAGUGUGGCUGUUAUAUAGCAACACUGGGUUUACGUAAGUCAGUUAGUCUCAUUAUUUAAUAGCCACGUACUAAUGGCGACACUGCUGUUUGUUUAAUGACUGAAUUUCUAACAGUGUUAGGUGCAUAGAAGCAGGACUGCAGUGCUUUUUAGUCACUUUAUUUAAUUCCUUGUGUAUAAAUGCUUUUCUAAGUCUGGCCUGUCUACAGCAUAUAUAUGUAAAUAAUAUGUAGCCUGUCAAUAAGAGUUUAGUGUUUCUACUGCUGUGCUGUUCAUGCAGAGUUCAGUCUUCCUGCCCUUCAGGCUCAGCACCUUCUCCUCUUCCUUCACCCACUCGGCUCUCUUUAUCCACCGCUCAAACGCUUCGUUUCAAACACGCAGUUUUCGUUUUCUUUUUCUCGAGGUGAGCCAUUAGCUUUCCUUGUAAGUCAUGUAAAUGUCUUCCCUCCUAAUAACAGCCGCGUCAGACUUUAUUUGACAUUUGAAAAGGCUAAACGAACAACUGAGUAACGUGGUUUAUGAAGCUGCCGCUGCAGUCUGUGGGCUGAAACUUCAUAGCAUGCCGCAGCCUCCGCGGUGACGCUCAGACUCUCAGGCAGGUGUUUUCACUUCAACAGCUGCAUAAACACCAGUGACUGGAGGGCAACGGGCCUCCGCCCGCAGAGACCGACACACACACAGCACAUCUGACAGCUCAUCAGUUAUUGUUAAUUUAAAGGAGCAGUCUGAGUUUGGGUCUUCUCUUGAUUCUGUAAAAAUCUUUGUUAGCUUUACUGGACUCUAUCCACACCUGCUCCUCUCCAUUCCCACAGAUUCAAACACUACUAAAACAACUGCCCUCUUAUUUUUUUUUUUUUUUUUUUUUAUUCCAUGUUUUAAGUCUGCAGUGAGUGAGCGAGCAUUGAAGAGCUGAAACUGAGGCAGUAGCUCUGUUUAAAUUAUUAGUAACACCUCUGUGUUCCUGAUGUGGCGUGUCAGCACGUCUGCUGUGGAGAGUUUCUGUAGGUGGGCUGUACUCAGGCACAAAAGUGCAAAUUUUAAAGGGCUAGUACACCCAAAUUAAAAAGCUUACGUAGUGGUAUCUAUUAGUGAGAUUGCUGUUCUUACAAGGACACGAUGGAGGGGCAUGCAGGGCAUUUACUUAGUACUCUCUCGAUUAAUCCUACGGAUCAUUUUUUCAGGAUUUUUUAUUUGGCGUAUUUAAUGGUCCCAGAGAGUGAAAAAUGACCGUCGUAGAAAUCAGAAAGUUUGCCUGUUAAUUUCCUCUUUAUCUAGAUUUACUGAAUAAUUACUGCACCUCUAGGUGAGUGCUAAUUAGUUUGGGGAGCUCUGAAAAAUGACUUUCCUUCUAGACCCUCUUACUGUUGGUAAUUUAAUUGGAAAUAUGUGGGGGCCUUCUAAUGAAAACUUCCCAGGAUGGAAGUUUUUUGAGUUUGGGGGGGGGGGCAAACUAAACAAAAAUAAUCUGCACAGAAUAAAAGUACGUUUCUAAUUUUGGGUGAACUGACCCUUUAAAGUCGAGGCACAUUUAGUUUUCUGAGGAGUUGACAGCAGAGCUUAAUAAGAAUCGCUGUAAUUAUGUAACGUGUGCUCUGCUGCCCUGCUGGCUUUUCUUGAUGGAUUAAUUAUUUCUCACCUCACAUCUCUGAACAAACGGAGUGAACACGAGUGAAACGCUGUUGCUGCACUUCACUGGGAGAAAACAUGUCGAGCACUCUGUCAGACCUUUCUCCUUCACCCUUCAGCAUUUUAAAAGCCACUUAUUCUUCCCAUAAUCGGGAGUUUGUGUUGUAAAUAUGUUGGAGUAUGUUCUUUUGAGGCUGUGCCUGAAUGCACAUGGCUUUAACAGCUGGACUGAAAGAAGAUGGACUUCUUGUGCGCACCAAGUCUUUACACUAGAAAUUGAAAAAGUCCAUUGCAGCUCAUCUUGUAAAUUCCGCCUUUUCGCCUGUUACUACUGUUGCUCGCUUUCACAUACAUGACCGAAACAUGGAAAAGCUCAUAUUCUUCACUUGUUGUUUUGUCAAAAGCUGCUUUUGUUUUACAUUUCCAGAAGUUGCAGUCUAUAAUUUUAUGUGUAUAUUUCCUUUUUCUUGUGUGUGUAAUAAAUAAAAUGUUUUAUGAUACUGAGAAAGUGCACGGUUGCUUAUUUGUGUACCCCACAGCUCACUUAUGCUCGUAAAGCUCUUGGAGCCGUAGCCGAAACCCAACAGGAAGUUCACCAUUUUGAAUUUAAAACUCAAUUUUGGCUAUUUAUGCUAUUUUAGGGUGUUAUGUUUCAAUCAACUACUAGGGAUUCAAUUUGAUCAACUUUGUUUCUCAAUCUCAUCCAAAGACCUUGGUGAUGCUAAGCUUGGUGAAGCGUUUGUAGUUUCGUUAACGGGCGUGUCUGUGGUGGCUUGGAGAAUGCCAUUUAUCCGCCAUAGCGUCGGGAGUUAUCAGAAAUCAGGUCUUUGUGAG